rnacentral:rRNA from 1 species
UACGUAGGUGGCAAGCGUUGUCCGGAAUUAUUGGGCGUAAAGCGCGCGCAGGCGGUCCUUUAAGUCUGAUGUGAAAGCCCACGGCUCAACCGUGGAGGGUCAUUGGAAACUGGGGGACUUGAGUACAGAAGAGAAGAGUGGAAUUCCACGUGUAGCGGUGAAAUGCGUAGAGAUGUGGAGGAACACCAGUGGCGAAGGCGACUCUUUGGUCUGUAACUGACGCUGAGGCGCGAAAGCGUGGGGGCAAACAGG